rnacentral:rRNA from 1 species
CACAGCGCAAGCUGGUAAGACCCCUCAUAGACGAUGAGGUUGAUAGGUUCGGUGUGGAAGCGCGGUAACGCGUGGAGCUGACGAAUACUAAUCGGUCGAGGACUUAUCCACA